rnacentral:rRNA from 1 species
UACACUCCUACGGGAGGCAGCAGUGGGGAAUAUUGCACAAUGGGCGCAAGCCUGAUGCAGCCAUGCCGCGUGUAUGAAGAAGGCCUUCGGGUUGUAAAGUACUUUCAGCGGGGAGGAAGGCGAUAAGGUUAAUAACCUUGUCGAUUGACGUUACCCGCAGAAGAAGCACCGGCUAACUCCGUGCCAGCAGCCGCGGUAAUACGGAGGGUGCAAGCGUUAAUCGGAAUUACUGGGCGUAAAGCGCACGCAGGCGGUCUGUCAAGUCGGAUGUGAAAUCCCCGGGCUCAACCUGGGAACUGCAUUCGAAACUGGCAGGCUAGAGUCUUGUAGAGGGGGGUAGAAUUCCAGGUGUAGCGGUGAAAUGCGUAGAGAUCUGGAGGAAUACCGGUGGCGAAGGCGGCCCCCUGGACAAAGACUGACGCUCAGGUGCGAAAGCGUGGGGAGCAAACAGGAUUAGAUACCCCUGUAGUCCCAUGAU